GAGACCCACGCCAACAGUUGCCAGCAUGUCCUCCGGGAUGGUGGGGACACUGUUGGGACCGCCUCUGCUAAAGAGGAGGAAGGAAUGGGCAACGGUAGGUCAGCAUGCCCCGAAUUAUCCGGGCUACACGCGGGCUACAAUGGUCAGGACAGUGGGUAUCGACACCGAGAGGUGAAGGCAAUCUCUUAAACCUGUCCUUAGUUCGGAUUGUGGGCUGCAACUCGCCCACAUGAAGCUGGAAUCCGUAGUAAUCGCGUCUCAAAAUGGCGCGGUGAAUAU
rnacentral:rRNA from 1 species